rnacentral:tRNA from 1 species
AGCCUUGUGGCGUAACGGAUAACGCACCGGACUUCUAAAUCCGGGGAUUGCGGGUUCGAAUCCCGUCAGGGUUA